UUCCGGUUGAUCCUGCCGGACCCCACUGCUAUCGGGAUGGGACUAAGACAUGCUAGUCGUGCGCCUCCAGGCCACGGUGGAGGCGCGGCGCACAGCUCAGUAACACGUGGCUAACCUACCCUUGGGACGGGGAUAACCCCGGGAAACUGGGGCUAAUCCCCGAUAGGUGAGGGCGCCUGGAAUGGGCCCUUGCUGAAAGGGCGUCUAGACCAUGCCUCUAGACGCCGCCCAAGGAUGGGGCCGCGGCCGAUCAGGUAGUUGGUGAGGUAACGGCUCACCAAGCCUAUAACCGGUACGGGCCGUGGGAGCGGGAGCCCGGAGAUGGGCACUGAGACAAGGGCCCAGGCCCUACGGGGCGCAGCAGUCGCGAAACCUCCGCAAUGCGCGAAAGCGCGACGGGGCCAUCCCGAGUGCCGCCCGCUGAGGGUGGCUUUUCCCCGGUGUAGACAGCCGGGGGAAUAAGGGGAGGGCAAGCCGGGUGUCAGCCGCCGCGGUAAUACCCGCUCCCCGAGUGGUGGGGACGCUUAUUGGGCCUAAAGCAUCCGUAGCCGGCUAGGCAAGUCCCCUGUUAAAUCCAGCGAUUCAAUCGCUGGCCUGCGGGGGAUACUGCCUAGCUAGGGGCGGGAGAGGCCGGCGGUAUUCCCGGGGUAGGGGUGAAAUCCUAUAAUCCCGGGAGGACCACCAGUGGCGAAGGCUGCCGGCUAGAACGCGCCCGACGGUGAGGGAUGAAAGCUGGGGGAGCGAACCGGAUUAGAUACCCGGGUAGUCCCAGCUGUAAACGAUGCGGGCUAGGUGUUGGCACGGCUACGAGCCGUGUCAGUGCCGCAGGGAAGCCGUUAAGCCCGCCGCCUGGGGAGUACGGCCGCAAGGCUGAAACUUAAAGGAAUUGGCGGGGGAGCACCACAAGGGGUGAAGCCUGCGGUUUAAUUGGAUUCAACGCCGGA
rnacentral:rRNA from 1 species